GACGAACGCUGGCGGCGUGCUUAACACAUGCCAGUCGAACGGAAAGGCCCUGCUUUUGUGGGGUGCUCGAGUGGCGAACGGGUGAGUAACACGUGAGUAACCUGCCCUUGACUUUGGGAUAACUUCAGGAAACUGGGGCUAAUACCGGAUAGGAGCUCCUGCUGCAUGGUGGGGGUUGGAAAGUUUCGGCGGAGUGGGAUGGACUCGCGGCUUAUCAGCUUGUUGGUGGGGUAGUGGCUUACCAAGGCUUUGACGGGUAGCCGGCCUGAGAGGGUGAACGGCCACAUUGGGCCUGAGAUACGGCGCAGACUGCUACGGGAGGCAGCAGUGGGGAAUAUUGCACAAUGGGCGGAAGCCUGUUGCAGCAAUGCCGCGUGCGUGAUGACGGCCUUCUGGUGGUAAACCGCUUUAGCCUGUGACGAAGCGUGAGUGACGGUAAUGGGUAAAGAAGCACCGGCUAACUACGUG
rnacentral:rRNA from 1 species